GGGGGGGGCAGGAAAAAAAGACAUUGCGUGCUCGAGUCAAAUCCGACGCCUCGACGGGACUGCGACAGCUCUGAAGGGACACCGCCGGAGGGCAGGAAGAAGGUCCUGCCACUGAUGAACGCAGCACGACAACUCGGCACUACUCCGCACCACAGCAUCAGGAGUUCCCGUCCCGGAUAUUUUUUCAGCUGAUUUCCUUCCUUAAGAUUUCCGCUUCUUAGUGUCUUUCUAGAGACACCGUAUGUUUGAAAAAAAUUAGAUUACAAUCUUUCUAGCGGGCUAAACGCUGCAAAAUGUGUCAUCUUCGCUUUCUGAAUGAUACGCAACACUUAAAGUGGGCAAGAGAAGACCAGGCCAAGAGGGAGAGAAGCUACUGGGAAUAACUUUUGGGGAAUAUGUAUUGGCAUGGUAACCUUAGAAGUCAUCCUCCGUUUGGAGAGUCACUUGUGUAACACUGAUUCAAUAGAAAUACAUAUUUUAACAAUAGAGGAAUAAAUGUACUAAGGGCCGUAUCCUGCUCACAAUGCAUGUAUUAUAAAAGCAAAAUUAAGGGUGUUCAUGCAGUGGAUAGACAUAUCGGGUGAGGAAAGGAAGAGGUGACAGACCUGUGCCCAAACUUGAUAGCAAAGAUCCCAUUGACUUCAGUGAUGCAGGAUCAGGCUCCUGAAGAAUGAUCUUAUGCUCUUCAGAAAGAUCCUGUGUCACACUUCAAGUACAAACCCUAGUCUGAUUCUUGGAUAAAAAAAACACAGGCAGUGAUAAGGGGAGGAUCAGGACUCUAAUAGCAGAGAAAUUAGAGGGAUGCUGGUUAUCUAGAAAUCAUAUUUUGUCAGUACAAUAAUAGCAAAAGAUAUAUUGCUCUUCUUAUUGAGGAUUAAAAAUGAAAGAAAUUAGAAAUAAAAUUUGUGUAUCCCUCUACGUGCUUCAUUUACCUUUUGCAUUUCUCUCAGUUUGGACAAUAAUCAUUGUUACAGUCGAUUUCACUUGUGUUUGCAUUCAGUUUCAUGUUUGUGAUGCUACCGUGUCUUGGUUUUAAAAGUUUAUUUAAAAACAAGUUAUAUUUUUUAAUUAAAAAUAAACAGAAACAUUUCCUAAGCACCAGGCUUUGUAAAAGCAGGUUUUUGCAAAAUCUAAAUUAUUAUGCCCUGUUUAAGUUGACAUUGUCCCCUUUGUGUCUCAGCUAAAGAACCAGUAACCAAAAGGGUAUUUUUAGAAAUGGAAAAAAAAAAUUACUUGUAAUUUGGAAUUUGAAAGGGGAAAUGUAGGCAUUGUCCAUUUAGGCUCUUUUGAGAAGACACUGAAUGAAUGCAGCUCGGGAAUGGUAAAAGGAUCCUGUCAGAACAAUUUAGACUCCAUGUUUAGGAAUUACAAAAGCAAAGUUUUAGAAAAUGCCAGUAAACAUGUAGACUUGUUUUUAAAGAGUGCAUUUUUUCUCCACAGUUAACUAAUCCUAUGCAAUAUUUGCAAUCCAGACAUUGCAGCAUGAAGUAAAUGCUCUCAGCAUGAAGUAAAUGCUCUCAGAACCAGAAAGUCAGUCAAAUUUAGCCUCUUUUUGGCUAAGAGUUGGACUGAGUGAAAUGCAGACAGUAAAUACACAUCAUAAGCAGUGACUUUUAAACUAAAAAUUUACAUUUUUUUUCAGUUUUAAUAGUUACAUGAAAAGUCAUUCUUUUAUGACAUGGUUUUUCAUCCAAUAUAGUCUCUUAAAAAUAAGUUGACUUAAAAGGAACAUUUUAAAAAAGAUGUGCCUGUUGUACAUGGUGACAGCUAUGUCUUUCUUAUACUGUAGAUAUAGUUCCCUCUUGCUUAUUUUACAGAACAGAUGUUGAUUUUUUGUGUUGCUUUAUCAACAAGUGUUUUUGAUCUUAAAACUAUUAGUCAUUCCAAAAUAGUUACAACAUUACAAGUUCGAUAAAUAUUUAAAUCUCUACAUUCUUUAUUCCAUUACAUUUUAUGAUCAAUCAAGACAUUUUACUCUUUGUUAUGGCUUCCCUAGUCUUCAUGCUGUUGUUCUUAGCUAAGAUGCCUCUCUUUUUUUUUUAAAACGAGCCUCUGCCUCUAAUGUAGUAUGAAAUACAACCACAGUACUUACCCAUCUCUAAAUACUGCAUUCAGCAGAAGGACUUGACAAAGAAGAACCAUCAUCCUGUUCUUAAAUUGUGGCUCAGUUCAUCUUCUUGCAUUUGGUUUUGUAGUAGGAACAAUUACAAUGUUAGCAUAUAUUUAUAAUAAAUGGAGUCUGUGGGUGUCAAUUGUUUCUGCUUUGGGAGUCACCCAUUAUUAAAGUAUUGGGCUGAGAUUAAAGUAAUGGACCAUUCAUUUCUGUUCCCAGCUCUGUCACUGAUUUGCUAUACGACCCUUCUACACCUCAGUUUACUUCAGCACUCUAUGAAUCAAAUGAGAGUUUGGAGCUCUCUAACUAUAUUAAGUCUGACUCGGGUCCCCUAAAGGCUUUACAGUUGUACUUUAAGGAAGGUUGUGGGGACAGGUACUGCCAGGCACGGCUCCAUUUGGAGAACAGUAACAGGGUAGUCCUACUAAAGCAGUAGUAGGCCCCAGAACUGGCAUGGAAGUAUAGCAUCUCUGCAUGGAUAGCUUUAUACCGCAGGGAUUACUUUCACACCUGCAGGAUUUUAGCACCAGAACUCCUCAAUCCUUCUGCAUGAGGAUGUUUCAAAGCCUCAGGCAGAAAUUGUGAAGGGACCUUCAAGUGUUAUUAACUGUGGCAUCUUCUUUUUUAUGAGAGAUCAUUUGUACCUGCUAAUGCAACUUGGUUUCCAGCUUCAAUGAUAAUAGCAUUGUGGUUUCCCAUAAUGUUUCAGAAAUGGGCAUAUCUCAUUAACUUGAGUCUGAAACUGAUUGUCAUCUGCAGAUAGGUGGUACUUAGUGAUGAUCAUUUUCAAAACAAUCAAAGGGAUGCUUGAAGGGCUGUUGCUUCCCAGGUACAUUUACUUUUUAAAAAAGAGAUUAAGCAGAUUUUUACAGACUGUUUAGAUGAUAUUAUAAAAUUUGACCCCAGGAGUUUUGACACAUCUGCAACAGAUCAAUUCACGAUGGGGAUAAUCUCUCUGUUCUGUAGGCCAAUGAUUUGGAAACUUGGGCCGUUGGUUGUUUAAAAUCACAGACUCUACAUUUUUCUUAAACUUGUAAAUUAAAAUAAAUUGUUUGCCCGAUACAAUGAGAGACUUUUCUAGGUUGCUUUUGACAUAUCCCCAGUUCAGUUUUCUUUCUUUUUUAAAAUUAAAGCAAGUCUUACAAAAAUCUGUUGGGUUUUUUUUUAUUUAAUCAGAACAAGGUAUACUUUGACAAACAGGAGCAUCAGAUUAAAAUGAAUCAUUGAAAAGGCAAAUUUUUGUAGUGGUUUAACAGUGUUGGGUGGGAGGCAUGAUGGAAAUGAUGCUUGUUAAGUCACUGAAGUGCAUCUGCGAAUCUCACCAAUACAAAACUGCUCGCAAGAAUAACAUCUUGAUUACAGGGCUCUUUCCCCAACAAAGGUUUCUGAUAAUACAGAAAACAUAAGGAAUGAACUAUGCACAGUUUUUGACAGUUAUCUUUUUAUAUCCUUAAAUAUCGAGGCCCUGUUAUUCCCCUUGAGGUUAAUGGGAUUUUGCAUGUGCAUCAACUGAAAAAAUAGGCCCAUAACAAUAUAGUCUCUUAAAAUCUCACAUAACCACCAUUAACACUAAUUGGAGUUAUCCAGAGAGAAAGCAUGUGCGCAUAUGGAUUUUAUUUAAAUCCAUCAGCCAUCCUUUGUUAGGCAGUUAUGAAGCAGCUAAAAAAUGUUUGGUUAACUGAAGAGGCUGGCUCCAUUGAGCAGUCAGAUUUUUUUUUUUACUCCCUCUGGUGAAUGUGAGAAUGACACCCAGGCUCGGGGUCAUUAAAAAUUUGUUAGCAAACUUUUUUGUUAGCAAAUUUGUUAGCAAAAUUUUUACCCAGAAAUGUAGGCGCAACCCAGGUAACUGUAUUCUUUGCAGAUUCAUGUAGAUGUAGUAUAGUUCCUCUCCUAAACUAUUAUGUAGCUUUUCUGUGCUGUUAAAAGCAAAUGCUUCAUAUCAUCUCAGAGGCAGCCGCAUUACAAUAGUGAAUGAAUUGAUUACUCAUAUUGCCCUCUUCUUUUGAGGGGUUAAUUAGAAUGCUUUGAGGUUCUUGGACCAAAUACUUUCCAGAAGUGUAUCAUAUUUGUGUUUCUAUUAUGUAAAAACUAUAAAUCCUGUGAAAGAUUCCAUGUGCAUUAAAUUCUUUUUUCUUCCCAAACUAUUUUUAUUUUAAACAUCUUGAUUAUACUUGCCCUCUUCAACACUGAGAGCAUUUCCCCACCUAUGCUUUGAAGAAGUAAUAGGCCAUUUAAUUGUGAUUCUUAAGAGGGAUUUUAUUUAAUUUUUUUUCUUGAACCUAAGGUUAAACCUCUAGAGUGCUUUACUGUGUAUUAAUAGGUCCUGUAAUGACUGUUCUGUUAUUGGAGUGUGCUUGCUUUCAUACUGUUAUUUUGCCAAACUGCUCACAUGAUCACACUAAAAGCAAAAGCAGCAGAGGCUUUUGUACAUGGGAAUAAAUGGUAUUCCUAGUAUCUAUCCUGGAUGUCAGUGAGAAAUAAUCUCUUGCUUUUCCAUGUCACCUUUUCUCUUUGGGUUGUUCUGUACAUGUUUGCUUUGUGUUUUUUCUCCUUGCCAAUACAUUCCCUGGCCAAGAGAGAUGUGUCAAAAAUUGGAUGAAACAGAAUUAGAGUUCUGAAACAGCAGAUGCUCUUUGAGCCAUGUUACCGUCUGUCUUAUGCAAUGCAAUCACAAUUAUGUAAUAUGACUGGUUAUAAAAAUAAUGUGGGUCCCAGGACAAUAAACAGGUCUGACUACAAACUGGCAAUCCACGACACAUUACUAAAAUAUAACUGAUCAGUGCUGAAUGUUAUAAUGGAGUAGUUUGCCUCUAGUUACCGUUUAACUAAAAUUGGCUACUAUACAAACAUUUUAAUGUCUUUAAUAUUACAACAUAUUUGGUGAUUAUAUAAAAUGAACGCAGACUGCAUGCUAAUUGUACAAAAAUAUUUCUGCUACUCCUCUUCUUACUUCAUUAGGAAGAAAAAACUGUACUCAACUUUAAUAAGGAAUUUUGUAGGGAAGUAAACAUCAGAGUCAUACAUUAGAACUGCAAGGGAAAAAGCUGCCCAGGGUACUUCAAUAAUUAAUAUUGGAGUUGAAAAAGUUAACUAGAUUGCAGGAUUAACACUGUUUUUGUUUAUACUGGAUGGAAAGCAUAGCUGCAGGCAACUAAUGACUGAACUACUUAAUGUUUUCAAGCUCUGGCACUGCUCAUCAGUUCUAAACUUUGCAUGCAAUCAGUUGGAAAGUUUCAAGAUUUCCAAUAUACAGCAGGACUGAAAAGCUGACUGGUAAAAUUGUGUUUGCUUUUAUCUCCUCUGCCACCCUGAUCAUAGGAGAAACCUGCUUGAACCCAGACAACACAGAGCUGGGAAGCAUCUGUACUUCUUGCAGACUUGUAUCCAGAAAGGGAAAUGUGCUGUAGACUGGAUAAAACAGUGGUCAAACCUCAAGAAAUUAAAAAUAGGAAUAGUGAGAUCUAGUUCUGUAUUCUAAAGCUAGCUUUUUGACCUUUUUUUUCCUCUAAGGAAUGAUCCAAUAAGAAGUCUCUCUCAGUACCACAGUCUUUUUUUCCUGCAAGUUGAGCUUUUACUAUGUACUUUACAAUAAAUAACUUAAGCAUUUAAUUCUAGAACAUCGUCUUUUGUAGGCUGUCUACUCCCAAAGUGAUUUAACUAAAAAUAAAAGCAAUAGAGGAAAAUAAGAAUUGGCGUCUUACUUCCUUGGCACCAUCUCUUGGGUUGUUCCUGUUCCCUCAAGCUAAGCUUUUCUCAUUGAGGUACAAACCUGAAGUAAGAGUGGCAAGUGGCCCUUAACUGUAGUGUUAUGAAUACUGUGCAGUAUGAUUUAUAUUAUUUUUCAGCUCCAGGGAAGGUUUGUUCCUCUCACUUUCAAUCCUGACUCAAGGUGAUAAAUGGCCAGAAAAUGGUCUAGUCUGGUAUUUAAUGAAAAAUUACAUUUUUUUUCUUUUCUUAUUCUGUUUCCCAAUAGGGGAAAUGGUAGGUGACUAUGAUUGAUCUGUCCAAGAGUAUCGUAUUUGCAUGUAAGGAGGGUAUUAAAUUACUAAUUUAUUUGGGAUCAAAGGUCUUUCAUCCAUACCAUCUUUUUAAUUGGAUAAUGUUGAUACAGUCCUUAAUUUCAGUUGUACUUAACUGCAGUUUCUUUUAUUUUUUUGACAAGAUAUAUUCUACUUACAAAUGUUAUGCCUUUCAUAUGAGCUGAAAAUUGGGAGGGAGAAGUGAAAAAUGAUCAUCAUUUGAUUUGAGAAAGGAAAAUUAAAAUGUGUUACAAACUGCAAACUUAAGUUCAGUUCCCAUUGAACUCUGUAGAAAACUUGCCAUUUUCUUCAAUGGGAACACAAUUAGAUAAAUUGUUUGCAACUGUCUGAAACAAAGAGGUUCAAAUCCUACAUCCUGGGUGCAAAUAAAAGCAUAUGGUUGGAAUUUUAAGUAGCAUUAUUGAUUAACAGCUCUGAUCACCUUUCUGUUUGUAUUGUAGUAGGGCCUAGAGGCUCCAACCAUCUAGGUCCCAUUGUGUUAGAGGCUGCCCUGAACACAAGAAAAAGAUAGUUUGUGUUCCAAAGAGCAUACAGAGUCAUCUUUGUUCUGCUGUCUGUUGAGAUGGACAUAUCCAAGUACAAUAUAAAAGUGUUUGUACUGGCCAAAAUGGGCAAGUCAGGAGAUCUACAUUUUUAAAGAUUCAUCAAGACAUACUGUUGUUUUAUGAAUAGAUAUGUCUGCUAUUUAUGGAGCAGUGGGUUUUUCACUUGACUAAUUCCAUCCCACAUCCUUGAACAGUUUGGCUAUUUCUCUGUUGUCUACACAGAGAAGAAAAAAGAAUAAACAAACAGACCUAGCCAUUAGAAGAUGAAUUUGUUAGAAUUUUUCCAAAGUAUGUUUGUUAAAUCAUAGAAAUGAGGAAGUUCUAAAAUAUCUGCAACAGAACAAGAAGUCUCCAGAUGACUGCUUAUCAUUUCCAGACUCACAUGGAACACAGGGAGUUUGGUGGUGUGGUCCCUGAUGGAAAGAAUUACGAGUAGAAAUACAAAGCUGUGUCACAACUUAACUUUCUGCCAUAAGUUGUAGGAACCAACAUUUCAACUGUUAUGGAAAAUGUAUUUUAGAGUUUCAACAAGCAGAAAUAUUAUGCUGUGCUAGGAAUACAGAAGAGAUGUCUCCAUAAGCAAUGAGUUUAGGGAUAAAUAGAAGUAGUGAUUACCUCAGAUUGUUUUCCAGAGGGCAUGUCUACAUGGGUCCUUUAAUGCGUAGUAGCCUAUUUUACUGCACAUUAAAAGCAGCAUGUAAAAAACUGCGAUUAUGCUAAUGCACAGUAAAGUAGGCUACUGCGCAUUAAGCAUCACUUAAAAAUCAUGCACAUUUGUUACUGUGCAUUAAGGCAGCCCAAUGCACAUUCCUUUAGUACCUUACAUUGGAGGUACUAAAUUUAAUGCACAUUAGAAAAAGCACCUUAAUACACAUGUAGACAUGCCAAGAGAGGACCAUAACAUUUUAGGUUUAAAGGUAAGAAGGCAUACUAUCUCAUUUGACCUCCAUUGAGUCAAAAGUGAAGAGCUGCCUUCUGUUACUCUCCCAAAGUAAAACAUAUUGGUUAAAACAGCCAGUCAUUCUUCUGUGUUUUCUUAAGCUUUGUCCAACCCUUUGGGCUAGGGAAGCUCAAUAAAGAGGAACCACUUCUAUCUCCAUGGAGGGUCACAUAUUACCAGUUACUGUACACCUGUACCCUCUUCACUGCAGUCUAUGGAGAGAAGAAAGGGUAACAUUUUAAAGAAAGGUUGGCCCAAAAUGUACCACUACACUUGUUGGUCAAAGGAGGACUGAGUCUGUAAUAACUAAUCUAUUCCUCAUCCCUGGUACAUUGUUCAUCAAAAAAUAAAUUUUAAGUGUUUUGAUCCUGUCUCAUUAGUGUUAACCUUUCUCCAUUCAACUGAUCAUAAAUGACCCAAGUGAUCAUUUAGAAUAUUGAUGAUCUCGGAAAUCACAUUAUAUAUUAGCUUCAGAAUAACACUUUUGGAUAUCAGUAUAUAUGUUAUCAUCUCCCGCAAAAUGGAGUCAGAUGAGCUCAGUUCCACUUUUUCUUAAUAAACUUGGUAAAAUAGACAUUCUGCAUCAAUAAAUGUGCUGACAUAUGUUGCACUUUUUGUAAAGGAGUUAAGUGGAAAACAUAAAGCAAACCACAAAUUCAGUUCUAAAUCUGUCCCCUGGGAUUAGAGACCUGAUUUUUAUGGAUUAGGUAUUGAUCUCUAAAGGACUAUUGAAUGGCCUAAAAUACUUUCUGGCCUCAUCUACAUGAGCAGCGGUCUAUGCAGUUGUCACUGUGCAUUCAGUUAGUACUUGCAUAACCAAGUACUAAAUGACUGCUCAGUAACUGGCGUUACGGCGCAGUUGCAUCCCUGCACGUUUUUUUUUAGAUGCUACUGUACAGUAGCAACAAAUUACUGUGCAGUAGCAUCUCGUCUAGACACGUUCUCUGACAACAAAAACAGCUCUGUAUUAGGAGGAAGCCUAACAUAAGAAAUACAUUUUUAAUUGUGGAAGGCCAGAACUAUGCAACAGAAUAUAUAAGCAUGAAAUAAGUUUGGGUUUUUGUAUAGUAUUAAAUAUAAUUGAAAAUUUAGCAUAAAAUGCAUUUUUUGUUGUUUUUUUAACUGAUUUCUGAUCAGAUUUAUUUGAGAAAAAUGUUCUUAUAUGAGAGUAAAAUUAAUCAGUCUGAUUGUUAGUUAUUUUAUUCCUGAAUAUCUGGUUUUGUGUAAAAUGUAUUUGAAACUGUCCAUAACUGUAAAUAGUUUGCUUCAGAAAACUAAUGAAGCAACGUAGUUUCUGCCUGCAUGCUGCUGAUGUAUUGUUGUGCUGUGUUUUAGCAGUUAUUCAUGUACUCAUAGCUAAAGAAAUGUAAUAAAGGUAUAAAAUUAAAUUAAAUUGUUUAGCUUU